rnacentral:rRNA from 1 species
UGUAAGCGUAUACCAAAGUUGUUGCAGUUAAAACGCUCGUAGUCGAAUUUUGGUGUGAGUUAUGGAGACUCCUACUGGAUGUUGAAGUAACUUCGCCUUUGUGGAGGGGGGUGUGGUGGUACUUUAUUGUAUUGCUGCAUUUCCGCCACUGUUUACUGUGAAAAAAUUAGAGUGUUCAAAGCGGGCGUUUGCCAUGAAUACAUUAGCAUGGAAUAAUAGAAUAGGACCUGGUUCUGUUUUAUUGGUUUGUCUGUAUCAGGUAAUGAUUAACAGGGACGGUCGGGGGUAUUUGUAUUCCAGCGUUAGAGGUGAAAUUCUUGGAUCGCUGGAAGACAGACAGCUGCGAAAGCGUCUACCAAGGACGUUUUCAUUGA